GAUGAACGCUGGCGGCGUGCCUAAUACAUGCAAGUCGAACGCUGAAGGAAGGAGCUUGCUCUUUCCGGGUGAGUGGCGAACGGGUGAGUAACGCGUAGGUAACCUACCUGGUAGCGGGGGAUAACUAUUGGAAACGAUAGCUAAUACCGCAUAACAUAAGAUAUUGCAUGAUUUCUACUUAAAAGGUGCAAUUGCACCACUACCAGGUGGACCUGGGUUCUAUUAGGUAGUUGGGGAGGUAACGGCCUAACAAGGCGACGAUACAUAGCCGGACUGGGAGGGUGGACGGGCAAACUUGGAAUGGAGACCGGCCCCAGCCUCCUCGGGAGGGAGCAGGAAGGGAUCCUCGGGCAUAGAGGGAAGGCUGACCGAGCCAAGCCGGGUGGGUGAAGGAGGUUCUCGGAUCGGAAAGCUUUUUUGUAAGAGAAGAAAGAGUGGGAGAGUUGAAUAUGCACGCUGUGACGGUAUCUUACCAGAAAGGGACGGCUAACUACGUG
rnacentral:rRNA from 1 species